rnacentral:rRNA from 1 species
CCUACGGGUGGCAGCAGUGGGGAAUAUUGCACAAUGGGGGAAACCCUGAUGCAGCAACGCCGCGUGAGUGAAGAAGUAUUUCGGUAUGGUAAGCCCUAUCUGCAGGGAAGAAGAUGUCGGCACCUGAUGAAGUAUCCCCGUCCAACUACGUUACAGCAGCCGUGGUAAUACGUAGGGGGCCAGCGUUAUACGGAUUUACUGGGCGUUAAGGGAGUGUAGACGGUAGUGCAAGGCUGGAGGGAAAGCCCGGGGCCCAACCCCGGAAGUGCUGUGGAAACUGUGCGGCUAGAGUACUGGAGGGGCAGGCGGAAUUCCUGGGGUAGCGGUGAAAUGCGUAGAUAUUAGGAGGAACCCCGGUGGCGAAGGCGGCCUGCUGGACAGUAACUGACGGUGAGGCUCGAAAGCGUGGGGAGCAAACAGGAUUAGAUACCCCAGUAGUC